rnacentral:rRNA from 1 species
GGACACCUCACCCUAUCUCGGUCUAUUCNUNNNNAUUUAUAAGGGAUUUUGCCGAUUUCGGCCUAUUGGUUAAAAAAUGNGCUGAUUUAACAAAAAUUUAACGCGAAAUUUUAACAAAAUUCAGGGCGCCCAGGGCUGCUAAAGGAAAAGCGGAACACGUAGAAAGCCAGUCCGCAGAAAACGGUGCUGACCCCGGAUGAAUGUCAGCUACUGGGCUAUCUGGGACAAGGGAAAAAACGCCAAGCCGCAAAAGAGAAAGCAAGGUAGCUUUGCCAAGUUGGGGGCCUUUACAAUGGGCGAAUAGCCUUAGGAACCUGGGGGGCCGGGGUUUUUUUAAUGGGGAACCAAGCCAAAGCCGGAAAACCCGGGGAAAUUUUGGCCCCAGGCCUUGGGGGGGGCCGGCCCCCUUCCUUGGGGUUAAAGGGUUUGGGGGAAAAAGCCCCCCUNGCCAAAAAGGNNAAAAACCUGGGGGAUNGGGGCCUUUUUUCCUUU